rnacentral:rRNA from 1 species
GGCUGGGACUCUAAGGGAGGACUGCCACACGGAUAACGUGGAGGAAGGUGGGGAUGACGUCAAGUCAUCAUGGCCCUUACGUCCAGGGCUACACACGUGCUACAAUGGCCGGUACAACGGGUAGCAAGACAGAGANGUGGAGCCUAAUCUCUUAAAACCGUUCUCAUGAUUGCAGUCUGCAACUCGACUGCAUGAAGUUGGAUCGCUAGUAAUCGCGAUCAGCAUGCCGCGGUGAUA